AGUGAACGCUGGCGGUAGGCCUAACACAUGCAAGUCGAACGGCAGCACAGUAAGAGCUUGCUCUUACGGGUGGCGAGUGGCGGACGGGUGAGGCAUACAUCGGAAUCUACUUUUUCGUGGGUGAUAACGUAGGGAAACUUACGCUACUACCUCAUACGACCUACGGGUUAAAGCAGUGGAUCUUCGCACCUUUCGCGUUUCAAUUAGCCGAUUUCGGAUUAGCUAGUUGGCUGGGUAAAGUCCCACCAAGGCGACGAUCCGUAGCUGGUCUGAGAGGAUGAUCAGCCACACUGGAACUGAGACACGGUCCAGACUCCUACGGGAGGCAGCAGUAGGGAAUAUUGGACAAUGGGCGAAAGCCUGACCGAGCAAUGCCGCGUGAGUGAAGAAGGUCUUCGGAUUGUAAAACCCUGUUGUUAGGGAAGAAAAGAAGUAGGAGAAAACACGGAUGUUUUGACGGUACCCAAAGAAUAAGCACCGGCUAACUACGUG
rnacentral:rRNA from 1 species